GAUGUCAGCUGGGUGAACCAAGAGAUCGGCCAGCUAGACCAUCUGAGGCCCCCAGAGAUUUCAGGCAUUCUAAGGUGAGGACACUGACGUGUAAAAGGUAAAGUGUUACCCCAGUUACUCAGCUACCUGGAGGCAGAGCUGAGCUACAGCGCAGGCAUCCUGACUCAGCUCCCUGUCCAGCAGACCACACAGACGACUGCGUAACCUUCAGCCACCACUGCACCAUGGAGCCCUGGCAGAAAACAGGCCCAUUCCAAACUCUUGACAAUGUUCAGAAUGCAUCACCCUGAUGUGAGACAGGAAACCUGGAAAGCCAAGUCUCCCCUGCAGCUUCAAUUGUUGCUAUAGCUACAAUCAAAUCAUUUAAGACUUUUAGAAGAAAACUAAGCUUUGUCUGGUGUCAUAAAGAUGGAGUAUACCUAUUUCAGUUUCAGCAAGAUUUGUGUGAAUGUUACGGAGAGAUGGAAACAGUCGCAUCGCUCAGGAAACAUUCAGGAGGUGCUGCAGGGUGCUGAGCACCUCAGGAGACCCUGGGAUGAGUGAGGCUUCGGUCCCACCUUCUGGGAGGUCAGACUGCAGCUGGAGGGAGAUUCUGACUGUCCAAGGCAAUAUUGGGUCUCUGCUCGGAACCUUCAGAAGUGGUGGGUGACUCUGAACCAUGCGGUGACCCAAACUCCUGGAGGUUUUACCCAACAACUAUACUCAUGGCUUCUCUGAG